UACGUAGGGGGCUAGCGUUGUCCGGAUUUACUGGGCGUAAAGCGCACGUAGGCGGAUAUUUAAGUCAGGGGUGAAAUCCCGGGGCUCAACCCCGGAACUGCCUUUGAUACUGGGUAUCUUUGAGUCCGGAAGAGGUGAGUGGAAUUCCGAGUGUAGAGGUGAAAUUCGUAGAUAUUCGGAGGAACACCAGUGGCGAAGGCGGCUCACUGGUCCGGUACUGACGCUGAGGUGCGAAAGCGUGGGGAGCAAACAGG
rnacentral:rRNA from 1 species